rnacentral:rRNA from 1 species
UAGGGAAUCUUAGUAAAUUGGGAAACCGGUAAUCUGCCCAUGCGCCUUGGCUGAUAAGGCCUCUGGGGUUUUAAGCCCUUUUCGAGUGGGUGAAUAAGGACAGUACUCUUAGAAUAAGCCUCGGCUAACUACGUGCCAGCAGCCGCGGUAAGACGUAGGAGGCUAGCGUUAUUCGGAUUUAUUGGGCGUAAAGGGCAGGUAGGCGGUUGUCAAAGUUGGGGGUGACAGACCCUGGCUUAACUAGGGAAGGUCGUUCAAAACUAGGCAACUAGAGGGCAGAAGAGGAAAGCAGAACUCCUGAUGUAGCGGUGGAAUGCUCAGAUAUCAGGAAGAAUAUCAGUGGCGAAGGCGGCUUUCUGGUCUGAAACUGACGCUGAGGCUCGAAAGCGUGGGGAGCAAACA